GACCUACAGUAAUUUCCUCAGGAAGCUAAUACCUGGGGCCGUGAAUGAGCAGAAAACUCUGUGUUGUUAAUUCACAAGAGAAGAUGAAAUGGUCGGAGCUCUUGCUGAUACUGGCAGCACUGCAAGCUUCUCUCUCACAGAACAUAGAAGUAUCCCAGAUCCCUGAAGUGAAUGUCAUAGAGGGCAGCACAGCCAACCUAGAGUGUAGCUACAACAUGAGCAACUUGGAUCUAUACACUGGCUGGUACAAAUGGUACAGACAUAUACUGCAUGGAAUUGAUAUAUUUGAAAAUGAUGAUUUUAAGGACAGAAUUAUUGAAGAAAGCGAAGACAAUUUCUUGAACAAGAGAUCAGCCAGCAUACAGCUGCACAGAGUAACAGUCUCAGACAGCGGAAUGUAUUUCUGUGAAGUGGAGUUUUCUGACCAGAUGCAAAUUAAAGGACACGGUAAAGGAACUUUUCUUGAUGUUGAAGGUGAGGGUGUUUUAUUUAUAUUCAUUCAUAUCUAUUAGUUAUAAC